AUUGAACGCUGGCGGCAGGCUUAACACAUGCAAGUCGAACGAGUGGGGGACGGGAGCGUAAUGCGGGGGAAUCUAGCAUAUGGGGGGGUAUCACUUCGGGAAACUGUAGCUAAUACCACAUACCAUGGUAUGAGCACACGUGUAUUUAGGUAGUUGGUGGGAUAAAGUCUCACCAGGCCGACGAUCUCUAGCUGGUCUGAGAGUAUGACCAGCCAACCUGGAACUGAGACACGGCCCAGACUCCUACGGGAGGCAGCAGUGGGGAAUAUGGCGCAAUGGGGGCAACCUGACGCAGCCAUGCCGCGUGAAUGAAGAAGGCCUUCGGGUUGUAAAGGUCUGUCGGUAGUGAGGCGUUACCUGCAGAAGAAGCACCGGCUAACUCCGUGCCAGCAGCCGCGGUAAUUC
rnacentral:rRNA from 1 species